GGCUGAGCUCUCGGCAGGGAGUGGGACAUGAUUCAGCAAGAUGAUUGAAUGUGAAAGGAAAACAACAUCGUUCCCAAUCUGGCCAGUUCCCUCCAUCUGCCCACCACAAAGAUGCUGAGGAGCAGAAAGUCUUGGGUCCCAUGAUCCCCUUCAAAGCUCAGCUCAAGUACCACCUCCAAUAAGAAGCCUUUCCUGAUUUGCUAAUUGCACUGGGACUGGGUCUGAGAUUUCACUGGUAAAGGAGAUGCCGCAGCCACUGCCUGGGAACCUGGAUACCAGGAUAGUCUCUCAAACCUACUCAGAGGACUUUAGAUUUAGAAGUAAAGAGCCAAGCAAAAUGAAGCGAAUCCCCCAUCCACAUGGGAGCCUUGCUGAUACUUGAAGCAGUGAUCAGGCUUCUUCUAAUUCUUCUCUUCUGGGAUAAACAUGAUCAAUCUCUUCAAAUGAUCUGACUCUGGUUGGUGCUGGUGACAUCUUCCAGACCCUCUCGAUGCUGUCCAUAAAACGUGGCUCCCAGAGCAGGGCACAAUGUUCCAGACAUGUCCUGACUAGGGCAAGGGACAGCAGGACUAUCACCUCCCUAGUCCUGGAUGCUCUGUCCUUCAGGAUGCAGCCCAAGAUAGUGUUAGUUAAGGAGGAUCUUGGUUGUGUUCUGACAGCAGCCAGGCAAUGUAGCCCAGAUACCCCUGGCUCUAAAAGGGAGGUGAGACAAAGAUCUAGGGAGAGAAGAGGAGGGAAGGGAGGCAGGGACAAUUUGAAAGAAACUAGAGGCAUGGUGGGGAAUUGAGUGGUGCAAAGACUAAACAGUGGGAAUAUUGGCUCCUAUAGCUAGUGGGGAGGUCAGGGUGGGUGUGGAGGGGAGGGAAGGCCCAUCCAGGGUGCCAUGGAUAAACCACCCCACAAAUGACAGGAAGCUGAGGAUCUAAGCUAGUCCUAAGAGUAUAGAUGGCUCCCAGGUUCCAGAAAGGGUCUGUGUAUGCUCAAGCUAGAGCAGAGAACACAAGCUGCCCACCUGGGAGAAGAUGUUGGCUGCAUAGGCAGCAGCAGUGGUCAAGGAAGUGAAGAAAGUGGCCUUGCCCGCUGUCUGGAUGGUGUGGAUCAUGCGCAACUGUGGAUUCUCCAGGUGGGUGGCCUGGCGGUAGGUGUUAAUGAAGACAAAGACAUCAUCCACACCUAUAGGAGGCAACCCAGGCAGGGCAGGGGUUAGAGGCACUUUUGAAAGAAGGGACAUCUCAUUUGCCUCAGUCUAUAGGGCUUGGAGGCCUAAGAACAUCAGAAAAUUCCUGCUUUCUGACCUGAUCUGGGUUCUUAGGGUAUUGGACCCAUUAAUCAUGUUACUGAGCUCCCGCCACUGUGCCCAUCAUCACCUAAUUCAUCCGGCACAUUCCUGACUGCUACCCUUUGAUGAAGAUGUGAAGAAACUUCUAGACCCUCCACAUCCCACCCAGAAGUUGAUGGGAAGAAGAGGAAGGAGUAUAAAGUCAUCCCCAACAGCCCGAGACAACUCACCAAUGCCUACAAUGACAAAAGCAGCCACACCGUUGAGGAUGCCCAGGUACUGGAUUCCAAAAACAACAUGGUAGAGGAACAAGGCAACCAGGCAGCUCAGGCCAAUGCUGGCAAUCCCAAAGAAAGACAGGAACACUGCAUGACAAAACAGAGAGGAACAGGUGAGGUGAGACUUCUGGGGAAAAGAUGAGAGGACCAGCUGCUCGGGAAGUCCUCAACACACUAUGUUUGCAUGGGUCCCAAAGAUAAGGACUGGAAUAGACAAAAAACAAAAAAACAAAAACACCAAAGACAGAGAAUGGAGCUGAGUCCCCAGAGACUUUGUAGGGAGUCACCCUUCAGGAACAGAAUCUCCUACUCUUUGCCAGCUUGCAUCACAUCUGCACUUCUGAGCUACCCUAGAAACCCCAGGAAGAAGUGAAGGAAAAGCAGAGGAGGGAGAAGACCCAGUAAAUUAUCCAGCCAGCCACCCCUCUUGCCUAUGGAUGGACAUUAAUGGAGUUCUUAUAGUCUACCUGGAAUCUUAAUCAUUGCUGGUUCUAAGAGGGAGUGACAGGGGCCUGGCCCCAACCCAUUCAGGGCCUUCAUGUUGUGUGAUUUACCAGUCCCAGAGGAGGUCUUCCUGGAUAAUUAAAGCACACAAUAGUAAUCCA